rnacentral:lncRNA from 1 species
UAAAGCUGUGGUGUGUGCGAUGCCAUCAUCCCGAGCUCUUCCCUUUGCUUGCGGAAGUACCUGAAACCAAGACUGAAACUGUAAGCACGAAGCUUAGUGAGCUCCCCCAAACUACCACAUACCACAUAAUAACAUAUAAGCACAUACUGGGCCUUGCCCACUGCAUCGGACCGAAGUCCGGGCUAACUGGGGCCUUGCCCCCUACAUCGGACCGAAGUCCGAAGCUGACUAGGACCUUUGUCCCCUACAUCGGACCAAAGUCCGAAGCUGACUGGGAACUCUGUCCCCUACAUCGGACCGGAGUCCGAAGCUGACUGGGACCUCUCUCCCAUACAUCGGACCGAAGUCCGAAGCUGACUGGGACCUUCGUCCCCUACAUCGGACCGAAGUCCGAAGCUGACUGAUCAUAGCAUAAACAUAUCAACUAGCAUAAACACAUAAAUCCUGUCUGAGCCACGGAGGCGUCAAACAUACUAGCUGUUGCGAUGGACCGAAGUCCAGAAACUACGGCUAACUGAACGAGUCGGCAUUAUGGCCUUAGACCCGUUCCUACUGAAAGGAAACUCACCUCGUGAACUGGCUGCUGUGUGAAUGGCUCUAGAAGCUAACUGCUGCUGCUCCGGUAUCUCCCCGGCUACAAGUCCAUAAACACACUCAAUCAAAUGCUAAACACUGCACUGGGGUAAAAUGACUCUUUUACCCUUGGUCAAAGUCAACUCUCUCGGUCAAAGUCAACCCACAGUUGACCUGACUCGCCGAGUUGGGCCGCCAACUCGCCGAGUCUCUAGUCUCACUUCUCAACCCUACUCGUGGCUACUCGUCGAGUAUGGCAUCGACUCGACGAGUACCCUCUCGAUCCAAGAACUCAGACAAUCUUCAUCCGACUCGCCGAGUCAUAUGAACAACUCGACGAGUUGUUCUUCAAUCUAAGAAGAUUGCCUUGGACUCGCCGAGUUGUAUGAACAACUCGUCGAGUCCCUCCAUUACUGAGUCUGCCCUCCAACUCACUGAGUCCACUCUACUACUCACAGGCUUCCACUCGACAUCACUCAAAAAGGGGAAAAACGGGACUCGCGACUUGACUCGCCGAGUCGUUCUUCCGACUCGCCGAGUCACAUCCAUGCAACUACUCUAAACUCGAUUCUGCUUGAAUCCAGCGUCUGAAACUUAUAGAUCUGGGCUUCCUUAACUCGAUUAGCACGUAAAGAUUCUAUCUUUACGUGCCCAUAAGCGACCAAGAAGAUAAUAAGGCUCAAAAAGCAUAAUAAAGGCUAGAUCUAGGGUUCUUAUGCAAAGCAUCUUCAAAAAGGCAAUAGAUCCGGGCUCUACAACUCCUAAAUGAACAGAUCUAGGGAUAUCUCGACCUAUUAAGGCAUCCAUACAACUAUAAGGCUUGGAAAAUGCAUCAAACUAGCCCUAGAAGAGUUCUAAUGGAGGUCUAAAGCAUAAAACAGAAGGAAUCCGAGAAAUACCUCAAUGAACUCUGAUUUUGCCCUUGGAUCUUUGCUCUACACCUCUUCUCUUUGCUCCUUUCUUCUUCUUCUUCUUCAAGCCUUCAAAAUCCACACAA